UGACGUUAGCGGCGGACGGGUGAGUAACACGUGGAUAACCUACCUAUAAGACUGGGAUAACUUCGGGAAACCGGAGCUAAUACCGGAUAACAUGUUGAACCGCAUGGUUCAACAGUGAAAGACGGUCUUGCUGUCACUUAUAGAUGGAUCCGCGCCGCAUUAGCUAGUUGGUAAGGUAACGGCUUACCAAGGCAACGAUGCGUAGCCGACCUGAGAGGGUGAUCGGCCACACUGGAACUGAGACACGGUCCAGACUCCUACGGGAGGCAGCAGUAGGGAAUCUUCCGCAAUGGGCGAAAGCCUGACGGAGCAACGCCGCGUGAGUGAAGAAGGUCUUCGGAUCGUAAAACUCUGUUAUUAGGGAAGAACAAAUGUGUAAGUAACUAUGCACGUCUUGACGGUACCUAAUCAGAAAGCCACGGCUAACUACGUGCCAGCAGCCGCGGUAAUACGUAGGUGGCAAGCGUUAUCCGGAAUUAUUGGGCGUAAAGCGCGCGUAGGCGGUUUUUUAAGUCUGAUGUGAAAGCCCACGGCUCAACCGUGGAGGGUCAUUGGAAACUGGAAAACUUGAGUGCAGAAGAGGAAAGUGGAAUUCCAUGUGUAGCGGUGAAAUGCGCAGAGAUAUGGAGGAACACCAGUGGCGAAGGCGACUUUCUGGUCUGUAACUGACGCUGAUGUGCGAAAGCGUGGGGAUCAAACAGGAUUAGAUACCCUGGUAGUCCACGCCGUAAACGAUGAGUGCUAAGUGUUAGGGGGUUUCCGCCCCUUAGUGCUGCAGCUAACGCAUUAAGCACUCCGCCUGGG
rnacentral:rRNA from 3 species